rnacentral:sRNA from 1 species
CACACACCCACAGGACCUGCAGCUGAACGAAGUUGAAGACAACUCAGGAGAUCUGUUGGAAAGAGAACGAUAGAGGAAAAUAUAUGAAUGUUGCCAUCUUUAGUUCCCUGUGUUGGGAAAACUGUCUGGCUGUAUCUCCAAGCCUGGCCAAACCCUGUGUUUGAAGGAGAUGCCCUGACUCUGCGAUGUCAGGGAUUGAAGAAUACACCACUGUCUCAGGUGAAGUUCUACAGAGAUGGAAAAUUCCUUCAUUUCUCUAAGGAAAACCAGACUCUGUCCAUGGGAGCAGCAACAGUGCAGAGCCGUGGCCAGUACAGCUGCUCUGGGCAGGUGAUGUAUAUUCCGCAGUCAUUCACACAGACUUCAGAGACUGCCAUGGUUCAAGUCCAAGGUGAGUCACCAGCUUGGGAGUUUGUGGGGCAGGAGGUACUGCUCAAGGGUCCCGUCUCUAGAGGCCAGUACCUCUCUGGGCAGGACCCCUGUCUCUGGCUGCCCCUCAUGCUGGGCCAAUGUGUGGGGCCCCGAGGUUUCCCAAGAUGUUGACUCAAUACCCACCUCUCCCCACCAUGGGGCACACAUGGAGCCAGGGGAAGGAAGGGGGAGAUUCUUGGGAGGGGGCCACUGGGAAGAGCCUGGACCAGUCCAGGCUCAUCCUUCCCUUCUAUGGACUAGAGGACUUUGAAGGCCCCCUCUGCCUCUGACUUCCAAGAUUCCAGAAGGGCCUGGCUGUGUGGGAGUCAUUUCAGAGUUUGUGGUGAGGGUAAGAGGACAGGUCCUGGGGAUGAAACUGCCUCCCAUCGGGGUCCCCGGGCUGCAACCUGAGAUGAGUAGAAGCUCAGGCCUCAGCCUCCUGGGGCUUCAUCAUCCAGGACUCCCCUCCUGAGUCCUGGGCCUGCAUCUCCCCAGAGCUGUUCCCACCUCCUGUGCUGAAUGCCGUCCCCUCUCCUGAGCCCCGAGAGGGUAGCCUGGUGACCCUGAGAUGUCAGACAAAGCUGAACCCCCUGAGGUCAGCCUUGAGGCUCCUUUUCUCCUUCCACAAGGACGGCCACACCUUGCAGGACAGGGGCCCUCACCCAGAACUCUGCAUCCCAGGAGUCAACGAGAGAGACUCUGGGCUUUACUGGUGUGAGGUGGCCCCCGAGGGUGGCCAGGUCCAGAAGCAGAGCCCCCAGCUGGAGGUCAGAGUGCAGGGUAAGUGUGCGAGAGAGUGGAGAUGCCCCCAGGG